AGAGUUUGAUCAUGGCUCAGAUUGAACGCUGGCGGCAGGCCUAACACAUGCAAGUCGAGCGGUAGCACAGAGAGCUUGCUCUCGGGUGACGAGCGGCGGACGGGUGAGUAAUGUCUGGGAAACUGCCUGAUGGAGGGGGAUAACUACUGGAAACGGUAGCUAAUACCGCAUAACGUCGCAAGACCAAAGUGGGGGACCUUCGGGCCUCAUGCCAUCAGAUGUGCCCAGAUGGGAUUAGCUAGUAGGUGGGGUAACGGCUCACCUAGGCGACGAUCCCUAGCUGGUCUGAGAGGAUGACCAGCCACACUGGAACUGAGACACGGUCCAGACUCCUACGGGAGGCAGCAGUGGGGAAUAUUGCACAAUGGGCGCAAGCCUGAUGCAGCCAUGCCGCGUGUGUGAAGAAGGCCUUCGGGUUGUAAAGCACUUUCAGCGGGGAGGAAGGCGAUAAGGUUAAUAACCUCAUCGAUUGACGUUACCCGCAGAAGAAGCACCGGCUAACUCCGUGCCAGCAGCCGCGGUAAUACGGAGGGUGCAAGCGUUAAUCGGAAUUACUGGGCGUAAAGCGCACGCAGGCGGUCUGUCAAGUCGGAUGUGAAAUCCCCGGGCUCAACCUGGGAACUGCAUUCGAAACUGGCAGGCUAGAGUCUUGUAGAGGGGGGUAGAAUUCCAGGUGUAGCGGUGAAAUGCGUAGAGAUCUGGAGGAAUACCGGUGGCGAAGGCGGCCCCCUGGACAAAGACUGACGCUCAGGUGCGAAAGCGUGGGGAGCAAACAGGAUUAGAUACCCUGGUAGUCCACGCCGUAAACGAUGUCGAUUUGGAGGUUGUGCCCUUGAGGCGUGGCUUCCGGAGCUAACGCGUUAAAUCGACCGCCUGGGGAGUACGGCCGCAAGGUUAAAACUCAAAUGAAUUGACGGGGGCCCGCACAAGCGGUGGAGCAUGUGGUUUAAUUCGAUGCAACGCGAAGAACCUUACCUGGUCUUGACAUCCACAGAACUUUCCAGAGAUGGAUUGGUGCCUUCGGGAACUGUGAGACAGGUGCUGCAUGGCUGUCGUCAGCUCGUGUUGUGAAAUGUUGGGUUAAGUCCCGCAACGAGCGCAACCCUUAUCCUUUGUUGCCAGCGGUCCGGCCGGGAACUCAAAGGAGACUGCCAGUGAUAAACUGGAGGAAGGUGGGGAUGACGUCAAGUCAUCAUGGCCCUUACGACCAGGGCUACACACGUGCUACAAUGGCAUAUACAAAGAGAAGCGACCUCGCGAGAGCAAGCGGACCUCAUAAAGUAUGUCGUAGUCCGGAUUGGAGUCUGCAACUCGACUCCAUGAAGUCGGAAUCGCUAGUAAUCGUAGAUCAGAAUGCUACGGUGAAUACGUUCCCGGCCUUGUACACACCGCCCGUCACACCAUGGGAGUGGGUUGCAAAAGAAGUAGGUAGCUUAACCUUCGGGAGGGCGCUUACCACUUUGUGAUUCAUGACUGGGGUGAAGUCGUAACAAGGUAACCGUAGGGGAACCUGCGGUUGGAUCACCU
rnacentral:rRNA from 1 species